GAAAUGCGAUACGUAAUGUGAAUUGCAAAUUCAGUGAAUCAUCGAGUCUUUGAACGCACAUUGCACCCCCUGGUAUUCCGGGGGGCAUGCCUGUCCGAGCGUCAUUUCUGCCCUCAAGCACGGCUUGUGUGUUGGGCCCCGUCCUCCGAUCCCGGGGGACGGGCCCGAAAGGCAGCGGCGGCACCGCGUCCGGUCCUCGAGCGUAUGGGGCUUUGUCACCCGCUCUGUAGGCCCGGCCGGCGCUUGCCGAUCAACCCAAAUUUUUAUCCAGGUUGACCUCGGAUCAGGUAGGGAUACCCGCUGAACUUAAGC
rnacentral:misc_RNA from 1 species